GAUGUCUUAUUAUUUAUUUUUGAAACAAAAAGUUAUCAUUUACGAACAAGAACCUAUAAAUAACCUUCCUAAACAAGUUAGCACGGUUAGCAAAUUAAAUUUCGAACUAUUCGUAUCUUACUAUCACAAUGGUGAAACACCUCAAUGUAGUAGCGUUGAUGAGAUUUGCAGAGUGUAGACGGGCCCGUGCUACGCGUAUCUCCGAUGUUGAAACUGUCUGGCGUACCGUUAAGGCACGCGACUCGCACCUGCCCGAAUUAAUUAUGUUUUUGGGCCUUUCUUGUCUUGAGGCAGGUGCCGGCUCAGCCCUGGUGCAAGAUACGUCAUAGCGCAUAAUUGGACUAAAAGAUGGAGAUAACACGGCGAAACUGGCUCGAAAGAAAAUAAAAUUUACGACAAAAGUACGCCGUUUCGCGAUCCGAUGUUAUGUUUGAGAUUUGGUUUUGAUGGCGUUUGACAUGGCGGAUAAUGGGGUUGCACCGUUACACCGUUUAAUUUUUGCAUACGCCAAACCCUUAUCACUUUAACAUUCGUGCCACAGCACAAAAACAUUAAUUUUCCUUAUGGGACUCGGAAAUUCAUUAAAAAUUAAAAGUAAA